rnacentral:rRNA from 1 species
CGGCAACAGCUCAAAUUUGAAAUCUGGCUCUUUUAGGGUCCGAGUUGUAAUUUGUAGAAGAUGCUUUGGGUGUGGCUCUGGUCUAAGUUCCUUGGAACAGGACGUCAUAGAGGGUGAGAAUCCCGUAUGUGACCGGUGGCUUUCGCCCGUGUAAAGCUCUUUCGAC